rnacentral:rRNA from 1 species
AUGCGGCGAGGCAAAGGGCCUAGGCGAGAAGCUAUGAGCACUGAUCUACACCACGCGGUACGACGAACACGACAUACAUGUGCGGAAGGCCUACGGUGGUCGGAGCACUCACCAGCAGCGAGGUCCGACGGUGAUGAGCUCGGGCGAUCAUGGAAAACGGCGACCGAGCAUGCAAACGAGGGGGAAACGGCACGGGGAGGAUCAGGGGCUCACCACGAGCACGCAAGCACGCUCGCAUCGGUGAAAGGGGGACGGAGUAGACGGCGGGGGCCAUCGAGCAGGUAUGAUGGCCAGAGUCGAACACGAGGAAGAAGGGUCUUGUCUUGGCUUCCCUCGAUGCUAUAG